rnacentral:rRNA from 1 species
UACGUAGGGGGCUAGCGUUGUCCGGAAUCAUUGGGCGUAAAGCGCGCGUAGGCGGCCCGGUAAGUCCGCUGUGAAAGUCCAGGGCUCAACCCUGGAAAGCCGGUGGAUACUGCCGGGCUAGAGUCCGGGAGAGGCGAGUGGAAUUCCUGGUGUAGCGGUGGAAUGCGCAGAUAUCAGGAGGAACACCCGUGGCGAAAGCGGCUCUCUGGGACGGUACUGACGCUGAGACGCGAAAGCGUGGGGAGCGAACAGG